UGUGUUCGUAAGUCAGAGAUC
rnacentral:piRNA from 1 species